rnacentral:rRNA from 1 species
UACGGGGGGAGCAAGCGUUGUUCGGAUUUACUGGGCGUAAAGCGUGUGCAGGCGGUUGUGCAAGACAGAUGUGAAAUCCCCGGGCUUAACCUGGGAAUUGCAUUUGUGACUGUACGGCUAGAGUGUGUCAGAGGGGGGGUAGAAUUCCACGUGUAGCAGUGAAAUGCGUAGAGAUGUGGAGGAACACCGAUGGCGAAGGCAAUCCCCUGGACCUGUACUGACGC